rfam:Nelumbo nucifera unplaced genomic scaffold scaffold00227, whole genome shotgun sequence
GGGUGCGAUCAUACCAGCACUAAUGCACCGGAUCGCACCCGAACUCCGUAGUUAAGCGUGCUUGGCCGAGAGUAGUACUAGGAUGGGUGACUUCUUAAGAAGUCCUCGUGUUGCACCCC